rnacentral:lncRNA from 1 species
AGAAUACUCCAUAAAACAACAGCAGAGAACAACAACAUUAACCUCCACAACUAUUCCCACAAAUUAUCCAUAAUUUCCACAACAACAGUGGAACGGUUUUCAUAAGUUUCAUAAAAUUCCCAGAGUUUCCAUACAUACAUACAUAUCCAGACCAAAAAGGCAUAUUCACUGGUCCGCACUUAGAUUCUAGCAUACAUUGACAAAAACAAAGAAGAAACUGAAAUAAUGCACAGCUACUACUGUUGUAUGUUUCCCCUCCCAUGUCCAGAACCUGAUCGUCCUGAAUUGGAAUACACUUUAACCGUGCUUCGCGCUUCACAUGAAUUGGAGCAUGUCAUUAUUCCAACUCGAAAUCCUGGACCGAAUCUUCCUCACAAUCUGCCAUAUAUUGAUAGCACAUUCAUUAAUUGACUUGCUCCAAUGUCUAGACCAACCAAAAAUAAACUAUAUCUAAGAUCGUCGUGUGUACAUCUUCUUCAUCUUAUCAAAUUUUAACCAACACUGGACUUGGUCAGAUAAAAUUUUUUUCACAGCUUCAAGUUCAAUUCAAUUGCACAAUUAAUCAUGCAGAAAUAGAAACCAUUCAAAAUUGUAACAACCACGAUGAGUUGACUCACGCUUAAAAGGUUUUGCAAAGAAGAAUGCCCAAUUGAAACCCACAAACUAAACUUAUCCUAAAGAUGUGGGACAGAUCAUCAAAUGUUAUCACAUAUCAUACCAUGGCAAGAUCAAUAAACCAUAGAAAUAAAAAAGAAACCCAUCAAACUAAAAGAAGUUAAAAUUAGAGAUGGAGGGAGAGAAAACCCAUUUGAAGAUAGUCAAAUUCAAUCAUACAGCUUCUUUGCAUGAUCGAAUUUACCUUCAAUAGAUCUGUUAAUGUGCACGCUCAACUAUCUUGCUCGAAGUCGAACUUUUCAAAUCAAAUAGAUGCUUCUUCUGGUUGGGCUCUUCUACUGGUUACAAACGGCUGGAUGGAGAUUGAUGAUCAGAUUUUCUGAGUUUGGGGAUUAGGUUUCGAGUGUCAAAUUGAUUAUAGGACUUUGGGAUUGAGCUUUGACUAUUCUGAAAAUCACGCUAGAUCGUUUUAGGUUUUAAUUGGUGAAGUCGCAUUUCAUAGAAUGAGAGGAUAAUGGGUUUUUGUUAUGAUGUGGAGUUGAUUUGGCCAGAGUUAACCGGACAUGUCAUCAUAU